GGUUCCGUAGCUCAGUUGGAUAGAGCAACAGCCUUCUAAGCUGUGGGUCCUUGGUUCGAAUCCAAGCGGAAUCA
rnacentral:tRNA from 1 species